rnacentral:piRNA from 1 species
UGGGAUUACAGGCGUAAGCCACAGUGCC